rnacentral:lncRNA from 1 species
CCCAUAUACUGUAGAUCACCACACCCUGGCGCUUUGAUAUAAAAACACAGAACGCGUUUCAGAAACAGUCUUUGUGCAGUUCGCAACACAGCCACACGGGGGCGCUUCGGCACACCGCAGAAACACGGUCUCCGUGCGGUUUACAUAGAGAGCCACACGAGGGCGGUCUAGCUUAUCGGUAGAACCUUCCGAGAACCUUUGAGCCACGGAAGUAAAUGUUCCAAAUCCCUUUUGCACGCUCUUUAAUGGCAGCACUGGGAGAAGGUACAAGUGACAUUUUGUAACAAGUAAACCCAUUCAGAAUUGAAGUGUGCGAAAACCGUAUCGUCGUUUCGCUGCACACGCCGGUGAGAUAAAUGUCUGACUUACUGCAGCACGAUGAAUAUACCGGCUUCAAAAGCGAAGAAGAACGUCAGCGCCGCACAGGCUGCGCUUUCCGGUGCGGUAAUGAGCGUCUUUACAGACUGAUCGCGAACGCAAACGCCGGAGCAGCGCCGGCGGGGAGCGACGCGGCGGAUCCCGGCUUGUUGUUCUCCAACGAGGAGGACGUGCGCCAGAUCGAAGAGGCCGUGAAAGCGGCCAUAGCGACGGUCGUGAAGGUCUUCUGCUCCGUGAGCGAUGCGAGGAUGCAGGAGUGCCGGAGGGAAGCGGCCGAGAGGCAGCGAGAGAACCGCCGGCUCAGGGUCCGGCUGGCAGCGGCCGAGACGGAGCUGCUGUGGCUGCGGCGACUCGCGGGGCCGCUAGAGGGCGCCGGAGCGGCGGACGGAGACACGCGGGCCGCCCGACGCCUCCACUCCGAUCCGCCUGCAGCCGAGAGGGCGGAGAGGGCGGAGAAGAAGAGUGCGGUUGGCGACGACAAGUCAGCUUCGCGGAGUGUGGAUCAGGAGCUGCUUCUUGAACCGCUGUCGAGACGGGCCGCGGAGAGUCCUUGUGAGAGGACAGUUACCCCGGUAAACCCUCCAGCUAGGAAUGAUGCAGCACGCAUUCCAGAGGUUUCCUUCACUGAGGUUUCUGAUCAGCAGGGUCACGGGAGGAAGCCAAAAAGCGUCUCCCGCUCUGAAGUCCACUCGGAGCCGGAGAGGAACCCCAGGCUCUCCGCAAGCCCAGGAAAGCAUCUCCAUAUGAAAGAAGAGCCUUCUGACUUUGAAACCGUGUAUGUCAAGUGGGAGGUGUGUGAGGAGCAUGUCAGAAGACAGGAGGAUGACCCCGGGUCUAACCGUCUCUUGCGGAAAAAGGACGAGCCGCAUAUAAGCCCUGUAUCUUUCGGCACGUUACCGUCCCCUGGAGCUGGACCUCAGGACGCUGCGGAUGCCCAUGACGCCAGCUUGGUGCCAUCUGCUCUGUUGGGCAGGACAGCGGUGACCUCGCUGGCUCGUAAGUAGAACGUCUUGGCGCGUUAGGAUCGUAGGCACAUAUGAGCUCUUUGCCGUCAUAAGAAUGUGUUUUAUAUCAAAUACCAUUUGAGGCUCAGGGUCCUUUUGACGUUAAUGUUGCUGUGAUUUUAGAGAGGCUGUCAAACCGAGAACGGCAGAAGCGGUACAGGGAGAAAAUCCGAGCGGAUCCUGAGCGGCAGCGGAUUUACAGGGAGAAGGACCGCUGCAGGUAUGGCCACCUCGUUUUCAUCUUCUCGCUUGCAGGGUGUUACUCUGCUGUGAUAAUGGUGUUUGUUUGCAUGUUGUCCAAAGUGGAAAAGUGACGGUAACUGAACAAAAAUGAAUAUUUGAAUCCAAGCUUGGCAUGUUCCCACUCUCAUUUUUUGCAGAUUUGCCAGUAGCAGCUUUUAACAAACCUUUUUACAGAUACCAGAAGAGGAGGAAGCUGAUCUGUGAACUGCCGGAACAAACUCAGAAGCUCCGAAGGCAGGCGUGGAGGGAGGCGGCAAGGCGCCAUCGUGCCCGGAAAAAAUCCUGCCUCCAAAUCGCCCAGUUUCCAAGCCUCGGGAACGUAGAAUCAGCUAUUAAUUCAACGGGUCACCCGGAAAGCUAGCGGCGAUACGGCCCCGUUACGGGGCCAUCCGGACUCCUCGCGAUGAUGAGUUCUCCGACAGCGAACUCGGAAAGCUCAAAAAAAUGUACUCAUCUAGGUAGCUUUUUAUGUACUCUUUGCGAUUUUAACAAUGACGCGCUCUGGCAAACGUCUCAUUCGUCUUCCUGUAUAACUUAUUAAAAAUCGAGACUGAAACUUUGUAGUGCUUGUCUGUUGAUGUAAGUCGCUGCCUCGGAAGGGUAACUGUACGUAUCGAGAUCCUUCGCUCGGUGCUGUCAGCGUAAGGUUCUUGCAACGGAAUAUCGCGCUGAUGUUAAUCAAAGAAACGCUAAUGAAGACACUUUCCAUAGGUAUUAUUUCAAAAGCCUUUUGGUUUUAUUCAUUUCAUUUGCCAGUGUCUGCAGGCAUUUUCUAUAGGAUAUUAAGUUUGUAUUCUAUAUAACUUGUACACCCAUACAGAAUUUGCCUAGUGUGAAAUGUACUCUAAUAUCAAGGAUGUUCAAGGUCCUUCAUAGGAGGAAAGCCUUUGUUAUGCAUAUAAGGCAUAAUUUGUUUAUAACUUAAAAAAAUACAUUACUUACCAGUAAUGUUUAGUAAAUAGUAUCUGAUGGUAGAUAUAACACUUGUGUUUUGCAGAUCAGUUGCUUUUGUUUCUUUUCCAGAACCAUUAUCGGCAGUAUUUAAGUAAAAAUGAUGGAUGAAUAUUUUGUUUUGCUGUUCUAGUACUGCAAAGGAAAUGCGUGCGCACACACACACACAGUCUAAAACCUCUUGUCCUAGGUGAGGUUGCGGGGAGCCAGAGCCUAACCUGGCAACACAGGGCGUAAGGCUGGAGGGGGAAGGGGACACGCCCAGGACGGGACGCCAGUCCAUUGCAAGGCACCCCAAGCGGGACUCGAACCCCAGACCCACUGGAGAGCGGGACCCGGUCCAACCCACCUGGAAAUAAAUAUUUUAUUUGCUUAUUCA